AGUGAACGCUGGCGGUAGGCCUAACACAUGCAAGUCGAACGGCAGCACAGUAAGAGCUUGCUCUUACGGGUGGCGAGUGGCGGACGGGUGAGGAAUACAUCGGAAUCUACUUUUUCGUGGGGGAUAACGUAGGGAAACUUACGCUAAUACCGCAUACGACCUACGGGUGAAAGCAGGGGAUCUUCGGACCUUGCGCGAUUGAAUGAGCCGAUGUCGGAUUAGCUAGUUGGCGGGGUAAAGGCCCACCAAGGCGACGAUCUGUAGCUGGUCUGAGAGGAUGAUCAGCCACACUGGAACUGAGACACGGUCCAGACUCCUACGGGAGGCAGCAGUGGGGAAUAUUGGACAAUGGGCGCAAGCCUGAUCCAGCCAUACCGCGUGGGUGAAGAAGGCCUUCGGGUUGUAAAGCCCUCUUGUUGGGAAAGAAAAGCAGCAGGUUAAUACCCCGCUGUUCUGACGGUACCCAAAGAAUAAGCACCGGCUAACUUCGUG
rnacentral:rRNA from 1 species